rnacentral:rRNA from 1 species
AGUGAACGCUGGCGGUAGGCCUAACACAUGCAAGUCGAACGGCAGCACAGUAAGAGCUUGCUCUUACGGGUGGCGAGUGGCGGACGGGUGAGGAAUACAUCGGAAUCUACUUUUUCGUGGGGGAUAACGUAGGGAAACUUACGCUAAUACCGCAUACGACCUACGGGUGAAGGCAGGGGAUCUUCGGACCUUGCGCGAUUGAAUGAGCCGAUGUCGGAUUAGCUAGUUGGCGGGGUAAAGGCCCACCAAGGCGACGAUCCGUAGCUGGUCUGAGAGGAUGAUCAGCCACACUGGAACUGAGACACGGUCCAGACUCCUACGGGAGGCAGCAGUGGGGAAUAUUUGACAAUGGGCGCAAGCCUGAUCCAGCCAUACCGCGUGGGUGAAGAAGGCCUUCGGGUUGUAAAGCCCUUUUGUUGGGAAAGAAAAGCAGCAGGUUAAUACCCCGCUGUUCUGACGGUACCCAAAGAAUAAGCACCGGCUAACUUCGUG